rnacentral:rRNA from 2 species
CAGAUCGAGCGAACAGAUAGAGAAGCUCCCCCCGCUGAUGUUAGCGGCGGACGGGUGAGUAACACGUGGGUAACCUACCUAUAAGACUGGGAUAACUCCGGGAAACCGGGGCUAAUACCGGAUAAUAUUUUGAACCGCAUGGUUCAAUAGUGAAAGACGGUUUCGGCUGUCACUUAUAGAUGGACCCGCGCCGUAUUAGCUAGUUGGUAAGGUAAUGGCUUACCAAGGCGACGAUACGUAGCCGACCUGAGAGGGUGAUCGGCCACACUGGAACUGAGACACGGUCCAGACUCCUACGGGAGGCAGCAGUAGGGAAUCUUCCGCAAUGGGCGAAAGCCUGACGGAGCAACGCCGCGUGAGUGAUGAAGGUCUUCGGAUCGUAAAACUCUGUUGUUAGGGAAGAACAAAUUUGUUAGUAACUGAACAAGUCUUGACGGUACCUAACCAGAAAGCCACGGCUAACUACGUGCCAGCAGCCGCGGUAAUACGUAGGUGGCAAGCGUUAUCCGGAAUUAUUGGGCGUAAAGCGCGCGUAGGCGGUUUCUUAAGUCUGAUGUGAAAGCCCACGGCUCAACCGUGGAGGGUCAUUGGAAACUGGGAAACUUGAGUGCAGAAGAGGAGAGUGGAAUUCCAUGUGUAGCGGUGAAAUGCGCAGAGAUAUGGAGGAACACCAGUGGCGAAGGCGGCUCUCUGGUCUGUAACUGACGCUGAUGUGCGAAAGCGUGGGGAUCAAACAGGAUUAGAUACCCUGGUAGUCCACGCCGUAAACGAUGAGUGCUAAGUGUUAGGGGGUUUCCGCCCCUUAGUGCUGCAGCUAACGCAUUAAGCACUCCGCCUGGGGAGUACGACCGCAAGGUUGAAACUCAAAGGAAUUGACGGGGACCCGCACAAGCGGUGGAGCAUGUGGUUUAAUUCGAAGCAACGCGAAGAACCUUACCAAAUCUUGACAUCCUUUGACCGCUCUAGAGAUAGAGUCUUCCCCUUCGGGGGACAAAGUGACAGGUGGUGCAUGGUUGUCGUCAGCUCGUGUCGUGAGAUGUUGGGUUAAGUCCCGCAACGAGCGCAACCCUUAAGCUUAGUUGCCAUCAUUAAGUUGGGCACUCUAGGUUGACUGCCGGUGACAAACCGGAGGAAGGUGGGGAUGACGUCAAAUCAUCAUGCCCCUUAUGAUUUGGGCUACACACGUGCUACAAUGGAUAAUACAAAGGGCAGCGAAUCCGCGAGGCCAAGCAAAUCCCAUAAAAUUAUUCUCAGUUCGGAUUGUAGUCUGCAACUCGACUACAUGAAGCUGGAAUCGCUAGUAAUCGUAGAUCAGCAUGCUACGGUGAAUACGUUCCCGGGUCUUGUACACACCGCCCGUCACACCACGAGAGUUUGUAACACCCGAAGCCGGUGGAGUA